rnacentral:rRNA from 1 species
CCUACGGGAGGCAGCAGUGAGGAAUAUUGGUCAAUGGACGCAAGUCUGAACCAGCCAUGCCGCGUGCAGGAAGAAGGUUCUAUGAGUUGUAAACUGCUUUUGUACGAGGGUAAACGCAGAUACGCGUAUCUGUCUGAAAGUACCGUACGAAUAAGGAUCGGCUAACUCCGUGCCAGCAGCCGCGGUAAUACGGAGGAUUCAAGCGUUAUCCGGAUUUAUUGGGUUUAAAGGGUGCGUAGGCGGGCGGUUAAGUUAGAGGUUAAAUCCCGAGGCUCAAAGUCGGAAUUGCCUCUGAUACUGGUCGGCUAGAGAGUAGUUGCGGUAGGCGGAAUGUAUGGUGUAGCGGUGAAAUGCUUAGAGAUCAUACAGAACACCGAUUGCGAAGGCAGCUUACCAGGCUACUUCUGACGUUGAGGCACGAAAGCGUGGGGAGCAAACAGGAUUAGAUACCCGAGUAGUC